rnacentral:rRNA from 1 species
CCUACGGGAGGCUGCAGUGAGGAAUAUUGGUCAAUGGGCGCGAGCCUGAACCAGCCAAGUCGCGUGAAGGAUGACUGCCCUACGGGUUGUAAACUUCUUUUAUAAAGGAAUAAAGUGAGGCAUGUGUGCCUUUUUGUAUGUACUUUAUGAAUAAGGAUCGGCUAACUCCGUGCCAGCAGCCGCGGUAAUACGGAGGCUCCGAGCGUUAUCCGGAUUUAUUGGGUUUAAAGGGAGCGUAGAUGGGUUGUUAAGUCAGUUGUGAAAGAUUGCGGCUCAACCGUAAAAUUGCAAUUGAUACUGUCAGCCUUGAGUACAGUAGAGGUAGGCGGAAUUCGUGGUGUAGCGGUGAAAUGCUUAGAGAUCACGAAGAACACCGAUUGCGAAGGCAGCUUACUAAACUUCCACUGACGCUGAUGCUCGAAAGUGUGGGUAUCAAACAGGAUUAGAUACCCUUGUAGUC